GAAUGAUGAUUUUCACACCUAAAAAUUUGUUAGUGCAAAAUAAAAAGAGAUUAAAAGGAAAAUAGGGGAAGAAAAGACGAAAAGGACGAACCUUUACCUCGUUUGCCUCAGUCUCCGACGUCUUGGGCCAUUUCCUCUUCCUCUUUCCUUUCGGCUCGGCUUCCACACUCUCCCGCCUCCACCCCUCUCUUCUUUUAUUUCCUCCCUCGCAGCGGUCGCUCUUUGGUUCCCUCUCUCUUCCUUGCUCGGCCACUCAUUUCUUUUCUUCUCCUUCCUCAUUUUUUCUCUCAUUUUCCUUCAUCUUUCCGACCUCCCUCUACCUUUCCUCUCAUUCUUUCUUCCUCU
rnacentral:lncRNA from 1 species